UACGUAGGGGGCUAGCGUUGUCCGGAAUCAUUGGGCGUAAAGAGCGUGUAGGCGGCCCGGUAAGUCCGCUGUAAAAGUCAAAGGCUCAACCUUUGAAUGUCAGUGGAUACUGUCGGGCUAGAGUCCGGAAGAGGCGAGUGGAACUCCUGGUGUAGCGGUGGAAUGCGCAGAUAUCAGGAAGAACACCAAUGGCGAAAGCAGCUCUCUGGGACGGUACUGACGCUGAGACGCGAAAGCGUGGGGAGCGAACAGG
rnacentral:rRNA from 1 species